rnacentral:rRNA from 1 species
CCUACGGGAGGCAGCAGUGGGGAAUAUUGCACAAUGGGGGAAACCCUGAUGCAGCGACGCCGCGUGAGUGAAGAAGUAUUUCGGUAUGUAAAGCUCUAUCAGCAGGGAAGAAAAUGACGGUACCUGAUUAAGAAGCCCCGGCUAACUACGUGCCAGCAGCCGCGGUAAUACGUAGGGGGCCAGCGUUAUCCGGAUUUACUGGGUGUAAAGGGAGCGUAGACGGCAGCACAAGUCUGGGGUGAAAUGCCGGGGCUUAACCCCGGAACUGCAUUGGGAACUGGGCAGCUAGAGUGCGAGGGAAGUAAGGGGAAAUCCUAGUGUAGCGGUGAAAAG